UCAAUGUCCCGUUUUGUAUAAAUACACUUUCGUCAACAGUAAUUUCUCAAAAUAGCACCAGUGUUGAGUAAAUUUAGUACAUACAACUUACAAGUGAAUCGCGAAAUUUCGUUUAUUAAAAAAAAAAAAUUAACAUGCAAAUUACGUAUUUGAUUGGUUUUGUAGUUAUGGCGAUUUUGGCCACAAGUGUGAUGGUGAUGGCCGAUCCCAAGCCUCUCGAUCGAAACGCGCUUAAAUCAUUGGUGGGAAAAUGAAGACGUUUAGUGCAGAUUACACGUUCAUCGGAUACCCAUUUUUGAUUACUUUCAAACUUAGGUUUAAAUCAACUUAUUAUUCAAUUUAAAUUCGGCCAUGCCUAUGCUAUAGAAUAUGAGAAUAUGUAUUACUUUCAAAUUUACGAUUAAAUCAACUUAUUAUUCAAUUUAAAUUAGGCUAUGCUUAUCCUAUGCAAUAGAAUAUGAGAAUAUACUUAGUUCAAUUUCAUUUCAA